GCAGUCUGGUGCCAGCAGCCGCGGUAAUUCCAGCUCCAAUAGCGUAUAUUAAAGUUGUUGCAGUUAAAAAGCUCGUAGUUGAAUUUCUGGCGCGGGCCGCGUGGUCCGCCUUCGGGUGCGCUGCGCGUACUCUGGGGCCAUCCUCGUGAGGAAGCGCGUCGGCCUUCAUUUGUCGUGCGUUCGGGACCCACGUCCUUUACUGUGAAAAAAUUAGAGUGUUUAAAGCAGGCUUCAAGCUUGAAUACAUUAGCAUGGAAUAAUGAAAUAGGACUUCGGUGCUAUUUUGUUGGUUGCUAGGACCGAGGUAAUGAUUAAUAGGGACAGUUGGGGGUAUUCAUAUUUAACUGUCAGAGGUGAAAUUCUUGGAUUUGUGAAAGAGGAACUACUGCGAAAGCAUUUGCCAAGGAUGUUUUCAUUAAUCAAGAACGAAAGUCAGGGGAUCGAAGAGGAUUAGAUACCCUCGUAGUCUUGACCAUAAACGAUGCCGACUCGGGAUCGGCGGACGUUGUAACCAGACUCCGUGGGCACCUUGUGAUAAAUCAAAGUUUUUGGGUUCCGGGGGGAGUAUGGUCGCAAGGCUGAAACUUAAAGGAAUUGACGGAAGGGCACCACCAGGAGUGGAGCCUGCGGCUUAAUUUGACUCAACACGGGGAAACUUACCAGGUCCAGACAUGGUAAGGAUUGACAGAUUGAGAGCUCUUUCUUGAUUCUAUGGGUGGUGGUGCAUGGCCGUUCUUAGUUGGUGGAGGGAUUGUCUGGUUAAUUCCAUUACGAACGAGACCUCGCCUGCUAAUAGCUCUGUCUGGGCGCGAUCGCGGGGACUUCUAAAGGACAAUGGACGUUAGUC
rnacentral:rRNA from 1 species